rnacentral:rRNA from 1 species
UACGGGGGGAGCAAGCGUUGUUCGGAUUUACUGGGCGUAAAGGGCGCGCAGGCGGCCAUUCAAGUCAGGCGUGAAAGCCCCGGGCUUAACCUGGGAGGUGCGCUUGGGACUGGGUGGCUAGAGAUCGGGAGAGGAGAGUGGAAUUCCCAGUGUAGAGGUGAAAUUCGUAGAUAUUGGGAAGAACACCGGCGGCGAAGGCGGGUCUCUGGACAGUUCCCGACGCUGAGGCACGAAGGUCAGGGGAGCAAACGGG